UAUUGGACAUUGGGGGCAACCCUGAUCCAGCCAUGCCGCGGGUGUGAAGAAGGCCUUGUUGUUGUAAAUCGCUUUAAGCAGUGAAGAAGACUCCAUGGUUAAUACCCAUGGACGAUGACAUUAGCUUCAGAAUAAGCACCGGCUAACUCUGUGCCAGCAGCCGCGGUAAUACAGAGGGUGCAAGCGUUAAUCGGAAUUACUGGGCGUAAAGCGAGCGUAGGUGGCUUGAUAAGUCAGAUGUGAAAUCCCCGGGCUUAACCUGGGAACUGCAUCUGAUACUGUUAGGCUAGAAUAGGUGAGAGGAAGGUAGAAUUCCAGGUGUAGCGGUGAAAUGCGUAGAGAUCUGGAGGAAUACCGAUGGCGAAGGCAGCCUUCUGGCAUCAUAUUGACACUGAGGUUCGAAAGCGUGGGUAGCAAACAG
rnacentral:rRNA from 1 species